UGGCGACCGCCCCGCCAUGGGGACGCCGGGCGCUGGGCGUAAGCGGCUGCCCAACCGGGAGCGCUUGACGGCGGAGGACGAUGCGCUCAACCGGAUCGCCCGCGAGGGCUUUGGAUUACUCGGUCCUUCAGUGUGAGUCUCUGUGACCCUGUGCACAGUUGCACUGGUACAGCAAAGAGGAAUGUGAACAUCUCUGAUAAACGCUGCUGCAGUGCCAGGGAGCCAGAUGUUUUCCCCAUGUAUCUGUCUGCUUGCCUGCUUCUUGUGAGGGAAAAAAUCCAGGAUGCUGAGGAUCAGAUCUGCUUCAAUGCAGACCUUGGCCAGGAGGAUCCCCCUCCACGAGUCCAGCCCACCUUGCCAGGAGAGCUGGAGAUGUCCGGCUGCAGGCUGGGUACCAAGCCAGCUCCCCUGGGCCAUGGAAAGGAGGAGAUGGUUCUGUGAAACAAGAGACAUCGUUAUCUAACAAAGCGCUGCUUUGGCAGCAUUUUACAUGAUUAAAGCAGUUAAGCACUCUC